ACGUGCAAGCCCUGCGAGUACAAGCGACUUCAGCGCUCUCCCCCACCCGCCGCCGCCGCCGCGACCACGGGAAGAACCGGGCGGUGCAGCCGCGGCGGCGGCGGCGGCGGCGGCGGGGAGAACCGCGCCGCUUCCCCGCCCGGCUGCCGCCGCACAGCACCGCCCCGCGGGCGGCGAGGCGAGGCGCGCCGAGCCGAGCGGCGGGGCCACGGGGAGGGGGGGACCCGCCGCUCGGUUGGGCGCUGAUCGGCUCGCCGGUACCCUCCGUCUCCCGGUAGAACCUGUUGCGAGCCCCUCGGCUGGGAGCUUCGAGGGCAGGUGCACGCACCACUCGGCUCCGUUUUCUUUACGAGGCCGGUGGGUUGUCACUGCGGGGUUAAAGAGGAGAUGGAGGGAAGGAGGAAGGCUGAAGACGUGCAUGACCGUGACAUCGGCUGUGUGAUCGCCCUAAAAAUACCCCUGACGGACCCACGGGCGAUCCUUGCCCAGCAGAAACACAACCGUCGAACAGGGCGAGGUUUAGGGGUUUUUCUCCUGCUCCUUGUUUUUCGUGAGUUCCAUGGGCGGAUGAGUCUUCUUCUUAGGCUUCGGACAACAGAUGCCUUCGCGAUGAUGAUUUUCUGGGGGAGAGUGCUAUUCCUCGGAACUCUCCCCCUCCUGCUCCGCCCAAGCCACGCAUGGUCCUUGCUUGUGGUGGAGCUCCCUGCGGAGCGGGGAGCGCAGGUAAUGUCCGAGGAAAGCUCAGAGCGAAUAAAAUAAAUUCCGUUCGUGUGGUGCCUUUCUUGAAGCGUCCCCUGAAUGCCGGGCUUUCCUCUCCUCAACUACCUCGCCGCCAGAUCUCCGUCCCACAUCGCUGCUCUUGCGACAGAACACGGUGCUUGCUCAUCUUCCGUGGGCUCUCCGUGGGGACUGUGGCUACUCUUUGCUCCUUCUGCUGUGGUUGCAGAAAAAGAAAAAAAAAAAAAGGGAAAGGGGAAAGACAAAAAAAUUAACGAAAAUUAUGUAGUUCGAAGACGGAUAGUGUUGAGUGUCAGAUUGUUUUUUUGCGUGCAAAAUCCCUGGCACAACUGAGCUCUUUUAACAACCUUUUAACUAAUGGUGUAAAAAUUGACUGGUAGUGGAAAGUAGUAAAUAGUGGAAAUAAAGGAUAGAUCCAAACUGUGAA